UACGGGGGGGGCAAGCGUUGUUCGGAAUUACUGGGCGUAAAGGGCUCGUAGGUGGCCAACUAAGUCAGACGUGAAAUCCCUCAGCUUAACUGGGGAACUGCGUCUGAUACUGGAUGGCUUGAGUUUGGGAGAGGGAUGCGGAAUUCCAGGUGUAGCGGUGAAAUGCGUAGAUAUCUGGAGGAACACCGGUGGCGAAGGCGGUUCUCUGGGCCUUACCUGACACUGAGGAGCGAAAGCGUGGGGAGCGAACAGG
rnacentral:rRNA from 1 species